rnacentral:rRNA from 1 species
GGGAUAACAGUCAGAAAUGACUGCUAAUACCGCAUAAGACCACAGCACCGCAUGGUGCAGGGGUAAAACUCCGGUGGUACGAGAUGGACCCGCGUCUGAUUAGCUGGUUGGUAAGGUAACGGCUUACCAAGGCGACGAUCAGUAGCCGACCUGAGAGAGUGACCGGCCACAUUGGGACUGAGACACGGCCCAAACUCCUACGGGAGGCAGCAGUGGGGAAUAUUGCACAAUGGGGGAAACCCUGAUGCAGCGACGCCGCGUGAGUGAAGAAGUACUUCGGUAUGUAAAGCUCUAUCAGCAGGGAAGAAAAUGACGGUACCUGACUAAGAAGCACCGGCUAAAUACGUGCCAGCAGCCGCGGUAAUACGUAUGGUGCAAGCGUUAUCCGGAAUUACUGGGUGUAAAGGGAGCGUAGACGGAUGGGCAAGUCAGAAGUGAAAACCCGGGGCUCAACUCCGGGACUGCAUUGGAAACCGUCUAAUCUAGAGUGCAUGGAGAGGUAAGUGGAAUUCCUAGUGUAGCGGUGAAAUGCGUAGAUAUUAGGAGGAACACCAGUGGCGAAGGCGGCUUACUGGACUGUAACUGACGUUGAGGCUCGAAGCGUGGGGAGCAAACAGG